rnacentral:rRNA from 2 species
GCGAGAAGUUUCCUUCGGGAGAUGAGUAGAGCGGCGCACGGGUGAGUAACGCGUGGGUAAUCUACCCGACAGAUCGGGAUAACAGAUGGAAACGUCUGCUAAUACCGGAUACGCUUCAUAUUUGACUUUAUGGGGGAAAGGUGGCCUCUACAUGUAAGCUACCACUGUCGGAUGGGCCCGCGUCUCAUUAGCUUGUUGGUGGGGUAAUGGCCUACCAAGGCAACGAUGAGUAGCUGGUUUGAGAGGAUGAUCAGCCACACUGGGACUGAAACACGGCCCAGACUCCUACGGGAGGCAGCAGUGGGGAAUAUUGCGCAAUGGGGGAAACCCUGACGCAGCGACGCCGUGUGCGGGAAGAAGGCCUUCGGGUCGUAAACCGCUGUCAGGAGGGAAGAAACCAUUAGAGUCGAAUAGGCUCUUUUGCUGACGGUACCUCCAGAGGAAGCACCGGCUAACUCCGUGCCAGCAGCCGCGGUAAUACGGAGGGUGCAAGCGUUAAUCGGAAUCACUGGGCGUAAAGCGUGCGUAGGCGGCGCAGUAAGUCAGGGGUGAAAGCCCUCGGCUCAACCGAGGAAUUGCCUCUGAUACUGCUGUGCUUGAGGCUUGGAGAGGCAGGCGGAAUUCCAGGUGUAGGGAGUGAAAUCCGUAGAUAUCUGGAGGAACACCGGUGGCGAAGGCGGCCUGCUGGACAAGUUCUGACGCUGAGGUACGAAAGCGUGGGUAGCAAACAGGAUUAGAUACCCUGGUAGUCCACGCCGUAAACGAUGGAUGCUAGGUGUCGGGCCGUUGGGUUCGGUGCCGAAGUUAACGCGAUAAGCAUCCCGCCUGGGGAGUACGGUCGCAAGGCUGAGACUCAGAGGAAUUGAC